AACAUUAUUUUAUGUAUUGUCCUCGGUGGUAAUGAAAAGGUCAUAGACCGGACGGACUCGUAUGACUUGAAGGAAAGAACAAACACAAUAUUGUUGAUUGAAAACGGGCAUUUAUUAUAAAAUGCCAUAAAAAAGAUAAAAAUAGAACAGAUUCUUUCCAGAAAGGCAUAA